rnacentral:rRNA from 1 species
AAUCAACGCUGGCGGCGUGCCUAACACAUGCAAGUCGAACGCGAAAGUCCCGCAAGGGAUCAGUAGAGUGGCAAACGGGUGAGUAACGCGUGGGUGACCUGCCUUCGAGCGGGGGAUAACGUUCCGAAAGGGACGCUAAUACCGCAUAACAUCCUGCUUUUCAAGAGGUGGAGAUCAAAGCCUGGGACCGCAAGGCCAGGCACUCGAAGAGGGGCCCACGUCCGAUUAGCUAGUUGGUGGGGUAACGGCUCACCAAGGCUCCGAUCGGUAUCCGGCCUGAGAGGGCGGACGGACACACUGGGACUGAGACACGGCCCAGACUCCUACGGGUGGCAG